rnacentral:rRNA from 1 species
UACGUAGGGUGCGAGCGUUAAUCGGAAUUACUGGGCGUAAAGCGUGCGCAGGCGGUUUGGUAAGACAGAUGGGAAAUCCCCGGGCUUAACCUGGGAACUGCAUUUGUGACUGCCCGGCUAGAGUGUGUCAGAGGGGGGUAGAAUUCCACGUGUAGCAGUGAAAUGCGUAGAUAUGUGGAGGAAUACCGAUGGCGAAGGCAGCCCCCUGGGAUAACACUGACGCUCAUGCACGAAAGCGUGGGGAGCAAACAGG